rnacentral:rRNA from 1 species
UACGAAGGGGGCUAGCGUUGUUCGGAAUUACUGGGCGUAAAGCGUGCGCAGGCGGCUUCUCAAGUCAGGGGUGAAAGCCCAGAGCUCAACUCUGGAAUUGCCUUUGAGACUGAGUGGCUUGAGUACGAGAGAGGUGAGUGGAAUUCCCAGUGUAGAGGUGAAAUUCGUAGAUAUUGGGAAGAACACCGGUGGCGAAGGCGGCUCACGUGGCUCGUAACUGACGCUCAUGCACGACAGCGUGGGGAUCAAACAGGAUAGAAACCCU